CGUGCAAAUGUCUCUAUCUCUGUCUUUGUUUAUGUCUUUCCCUUGAUGCAGAAUGCCCUUCCCAGCCAUCAAGACCUGACUGGGACGUCAUUUGCCCUGGAAAGCCUCCCAGGAUCCUUCUCUUUGGUCCCUGUGCUUCUUUGUAUCUAUUGGAACAGUAUCUGUUGAGUUCUCAGUUCUAAUAGGCUGAUUAGUGUCACCUGGGGGACCUUGUUAAAUUCAUAAAUCCUAGCCCUGAAUCACAAUCUCUUAAGAGGACCUGGAGCAGACAGGAUCCCUGAAUUCAAGUGCAUGGAACAGAAGUGUGGUGCCUUGCCUCUACCAGUUCUGGGACUUCUCGGUUGACAGAUGUGGAGACCCAGAGUCAAGGAACGAAGUACCCGAGAACCCCUGGGGAAUUCGACAUAACCAGAGCCAGCACCUGGCUGCCAUCAUGCCCAGUCUAAGGCGGUGUCACUCGAGAGGGCUUCCUCUCCUGAUGAAUUAAAGCUGAUUUGAAGAGUAAAAGAGUCUAAAAAACAUACCAUUAUCUGAAGAACAACUUUAACACAUGUAAAUAGAGGCCCAAAGAUUUUUAUCUCUAUUUUCAGUUAAAUACAAAUCAAAACCCAGCAUGUUUUCGAACACUACAUCGGACACUUAUUUGUAUUUCCUGAAGCCACCCCAGUGAGCCACUCUGAAAUAAAUUAAAAAGAAUGGUCAAAGCUGAAUGCACACCGAGGUUUCCAUGUGCUCAGCUCAGCAGAUUCAGGUAUGACCCCUACAGAGCUUGGACUCUGAACGGGAACUGACAUUCUCUACGCUCAGCGACCAUUUCACACAAUGAAUUCAUCUGUGUAAUUGUGCCUGGCUGUCCCCAGAUUAACUCCAUGUUUGCAUGAAGAUCAAAAUGCUUACUUUUCUUCCAUUUCUGUCUUAUCUGGGGAGGCAUUCAUGCUUGGAAUUUCCUGGGCUUUUCUUUUUUAAAUCUCGUGGAGAGAUUGAGAGUGUA